CUGGGUUCCUGGGAACUUUGAGUUCCUCAACUUCGCCCCACCUCGCGGCCCCUGGUCCUCGGUUCCGGCCUGAGGCGACCCCCGGGCACCGUCGUGGUCGCCUGCUCGCCUCCGCCGAGCGGUGUCGGAGCGGGAGCCCGUGGGGCCCGUGAGGUUCUGCUGACAAGGUAAAACAAUGAGGAGCACUGCCCCACAGCCAAGCUGGGAUGCUGGACCCAUUCCAGAGAGAAGCAUCAGUCACCUGAAGCCACCCAUUCACAAAGGCGAGAUCUGUGGGUGUGAGACUCGCUGGCUCCCCAUGGAUCUGUUUGACACCAUAGACAAAGCAGUUACACUAGAGACAGGGAAGGAUCACACAGAGAGCUGACAUCAGGACCAAGCAGAUCUACACUGCCCACGUUUGAAUCAAGAGUCACUUCACGGAUGAAUUCAGGGCACUCACUGAUGCUCCAGGACAUCACAUGACGCCCCUUUACAGACAAGGUGUCUCAGAGCAGUCAAGUGCUCUCCUUGCCUCACUCACCCUUCUCAGCCAGAGGAAGGACCAAUGAGACAUGGGCGGACAGGAAGCCAGGACUUGGAAGCAUCGCAUAUAACUGCUGUUUCACUGCUUGGCUCUCUGGUUGCCUAGAAACAGCAUCUCCCUGCUGGGUAGACACUUGGCUUGCCCCUUAAACAGUUCUAAUCAUAUGCUGCUUUAAUAAACCAACCCUCCCUCCAAAAUAAAAGGUAUGG
rnacentral:lncRNA from 1 species